rnacentral:rRNA from 1 species
GGGGUUCCGGGAGCUCACUCCCAACCCCAAUGUGAACGUUACCAAUCUGUUGCCUCGGCGGGAUUCUCUUGCCCCGGGCGCGUCGCAGCCCCGGAUCCCAUGGCGCCCGCCGGAGGACCAACUCCAAACUCUUUUUUUCUCUCCGUCGCGGCUCCCGUCGCGGCUCUGUUUUAUUUUUGCUCUGAGCCUUUCUCGGCGACCCUAGCGGGCGUCUCGAAAAUGAAUCAAAACUUUCAACAACGGAUCUCUUGGUUCUGGCAUCGAUGAAGAACGCAGCGAAAUGCGAUAAGUAAUGUGAAUUGCAGAAUUCAGUGAAUCAUCGAAUCUUUGAACGCACAUUGCGCCCGCCAGUAUUCUGGCGGGCAUGCCUGUCCGAGCGUCAUUUCAACCCUCGAACCCCUCCGGGGGGUCGGCGUUGGGGAUCGGCCCCUCACCGGGCCGCCCCCGAAAUACAGUGGCGGUCUCGCCGCAGCCUCUCCUGCGCAGUAGUUUGCACACUCGCACCGGGAGCGCGGCGCGGCCACAGCCGUAAAACACCCCAAACUUCUGAAAUGUUGACCUCGGAUCAGGUAGGAAUACCCGCUGAACUUAAGCAUAUCAAUAAAGCGGAGGAA